rnacentral:sRNA from 1 species
GCUGGAUGUGGUGGUGCAAGCCUGUAAUCCCAGCAGCUCGGGAGGCUGAGUCAGGAGAAUCGCGAGUUCAAAGCCAGCUUCAGCAACGUCAUGAUGCUAAGCAACUCAGCGAGACCCUGUCUCUA